ensembl:lncRNA
CAGCAGGCAAGGCUAAUCCAAACCAACAGAGUGCACUCUUGCAUCAAAAAAUGAAAUGCUAAUCUAUUGUAGAGAAGUUCUUUGUGCCUGUUCCUCCCAGGCUAAGAGUGAGAGCAGCAACACAGAAACUCUUGUUUCCAGAAAAAAAACAUACUCUUGUUUUUUAAAUCCAUCUCUCUCCUCUCCUGCUCCUGGCAGAGUCACCUGAUGCAGGGGGUGGAGGAGCUUGUUGGGUGUUCAGCUCCUGGCCUGCCUCGGAGCUUGGUCUUUGCAAGGACAGCAGGGUAGAAGUGAGUUCUCCUUUUGCUAGGCAUGGUGCCUGGUCCCUUCACACUUGAAAGACCCCCAAAGGUGGUGUCUCAUCCACACGUCCGACCCCUUUGGACCAUCCCAGGCAAAGAGCUCAAGGCUGAUGGAGAGAAAGAGUGCUGCUGGGCUUGGAAAUGUGGAUACGUGUGCCCCAGGAACACGUGCUUUGAUGUUGUCUCUGGAAGAGUAUGCAAAUUUUAUCCUCAUCUGUGGUAAAGAAGGGAUGACAAGUAAUAUUUCUUAUAGACAGAGAUAAGGUGGCUGAAUUUCAAGAGCAGAGAGGAAGAAAUGAGUGAAAAGGUGUAGAGAAGUCUGGAUUACAUUCUUAAACUGUGAGGGAGACAAAAUUAAAGCUUUUAAAUAGAUUUGCCUUGAAAGUUCUCAAGAAGGCGGGCUGGAGGUUCUCAAAAUGGAGCUAACGUUCUCCAGGCUGAGCAGCAGUUGGGGAUGCUCAAAGCAUAGAAUCACAGAAUCAUUAAGGUUGGAAAAGACCACUAAGAUCAUCUAGUCCAACCAUCAACCCAUCAGCACCACUCCCACCACGCGACUCCGUGGGUCUGAAACGUUUGCUAGAACAUGGGAUUAAGGAUGGCAGAGAGAUUUGUGAACGAUAUUUUGCCAUGGUGAUUUCACAUUUUAUCACAGCCUCCACAGACUUUGCCUGAAGACCAUGGCAUUUUGCUGUCUUUUUGAAUAUUUACUUUUUUUACUGUCAAUAUUUAACUUCCUGGUGUGAUUUUGCAUACCAAACGCCCAAGACUCAAGUUGACAUUUUCAUCAGACCAUUCUGAUGGCAAACUAAUGGGCACAAAAUCC